CCAACUUACGCACCCUGACUUCUUCAGCCCUGAGUGCCCAAGAGCCGCUCCCAUGGUGGUGUCCCAGCUGCCAUGCCAUAAGCUGUUUCUCCUCUGCCAGGCCCCUCUGCCAGGCUGCCCAGCCUUAGAGCCAGCCAACUAUGGACUGAAACCUCUACCAAGUGAACCAGAAUAAUCUCGUCCUUUAAGUUCUGGGUGUUGGGUAUUGUGUCUCAGCAAGGAGAAAGUGACUAAGACACAGGCCUUGGCCAGAGCAGUUGAUUGAGUGGGUUCAUGCUAGGUUAAAGUAAUGAAUAUGGGGGUUGAGAUUGGUAGUAUGUACCAGAAAACUCAACGACCAACUUGGCUCCUUACUCCCAGCUCCAGGGAGCCCAGCUGGGGCAGCAAGUGAAGCAUCAGAGGAAAAGAGGGAAGACAGCUCCCUCCUGGGAUGCUGUGAGCUGAAUGUCAUCUGCUGUGAACAUGUCCUUUCCACUGUCCUCUUGCUCAUACUUUUGGGGCUUGAAGUAGGAGAGGCCUCUAGGCUUUGCCAUAGCCCUGUGUCUUCCCUACAGUCCCUCCACAGCUUUGGAACGAUGCUAUCAUGAAACCUUCCUCUGACCAUUCUAAUGACAAGGCGAGAGUAGGCUAAUAGCCGUCUCUGGCACAGGGACCCUGACCUCCAACCCCAUCUGCUCACAUGCCUCAUUACCCCAAACAACCCUCACUACAUGCUGCCCCAUGCUCAAAGUCCAGGCUUCUGGACCAAGAGCUGUGCUUCCAGCAAGGACCAGGUGUGGUUCUUCCAGGCCACUUAGCUCAAAGCUAGGACUGCAGCCCACAGCACGGGGACAGGCCACACAGCCCUGAAGAACUGGCACUGUGCUAUAGUCACUGGCCACAGCACAUGCAGACACUGGUGAGGCAUGAGCCCUGAGGCAGAGGCCACAGCCUGUGAUUGGGUGUCCCUCAGGACCACAGGGAAAACCAGGCAGCCUCUCACCUCCUGACCCCAUGUGUGAGAACAGUGACACACACGUGUGUACUAUGUGUAGUUAAAGCCACGCUGAUUUUUCUGUUACAUGUUUAAAAGUCACCGCUAAAUCACUGUAGAUCAACUAUGGCCUGGGCAGGAUGAACUUACUUGCAGUUUGAACGGAAUAUGUGUUAUCAACCUCGAAAAUAAAAACAUAAUAUCUCAGAUGCAGAAGGGGAGAAGCAAAGAGAGCUGCUUAUAGACUGGAAGGACAAGUGGCAUUGUCUAAAAUAAAUGUGAGUAAGGUGCAUGCAUUUAAACUUUGCAAUGGAACAAUGGAGAAACAAAAAUUAGAGAAAUAGUUGCAUGUAGCAUUAGUGGGGUGGAGUAGCUAAAUCUUUAUCAUGCUCAGAAAUCAGCAGACAUCAUUAAAACAGUAUAACUUAUUUAAAGUAAUCUAAAUCAGUGGUAGACAACCCUGGGUUUGAUCUCCAGCACUGUAAAAAAAUUGAUCAAAUAAAUUCAUCAGCCCGGGUGUGUCUGAUUUAACUCGUCACCCUUUGAUACUCUUAAACUGCUGCUGUUCCCAUAGUAACCUUUGC
ensembl:lncRNA